rnacentral:rRNA from 1 species
GAUGAACGCUAGCGGCGGGCUUAAUACAUGCAAGUCGAGGGGCAGCACGAUGUAGCAAUACAUUGGUGGCGACCGGCGGACGGGUGCGUAACACGUAUGCAACUUGCCCUAUACUGGGAGAUAGCCCGAAGAAAUUCGGAUUAAUAUCCCAUAACAUCAGGAUAAGCAUUUAUCUUGGUUCAAAACUCCGGUGGUAUAGGAAAGGCAUGCGGUCGAUUAGCUUGUUGGUGAGGUAAUGGCUCACCAAGGCAACGAUCGAUAGGGGGCCUGAGAGGGGUAUCCCCCACACUGGUACUGAGAUACGGACCAGACUCCUACGGGAGGCAGCAGGAAGGAAUAUUGGUCAAUGGGCGAAAGCCUGAACCAGCCACGCCGCGUGAAGGAAGAAGGCCCUACGGGUUGUAAACUUCUUUUCUAUGGGAAUAAACCUCAGGACGUGUCCUGAGCUGAAGGUACCGUAGGAAUAAGCAUCGGCUAACUCCGUGCCAGCCGCCGCGGUAAAAC